CCUGUCUGUGGAAUACACAAGACACUUCUUGUAGACAGCUCCUUCCAUAGGACCUAAUUUGGAUAAAGACUGUGUUCCCAUUAGUCAGGAGCUCUUAUCCCUGAAACAUAUUACAAGGACUUUUAUUAUAAACCUAUAUAUUCAGUAAAUAGAUGUUUGGAGGACUGGUGGCGGAGCACUGAGGACCUAUCGGUGGGAGAAUCAAUAUGAAUAAUAAGGACAAUUGACCCUGAGGGUGAUAAGUGAUCCAGGAAGGAGGACGGUAACAGAUAAAGUUUUCUUUAGAACAUGAUGCUGCUUUCCACCGAACCACCAAGGAUAGACCAGGACAGAGACCACAUGGCUGCGAGGAUAUUAGACCUCACUCUAGAGAUCAUCUACCUGAUAACUGGAGAGGAUUACACAGUAGUGAAGAAGUCGUCUGGUGAGUGUGUGACACCCCAUGUGUCAGGAGAAUGGAGCGGGACCCCGGGAGCCAUCACCGAGCCUCCACCUCAUUCAUUGAUACAUGAGCAGAAGAUCCUAGAACUUACCACCAGGA